CGCGCGUCGACAUCGGAUGCUAUGGCACACUCGUGCCUUAUGUGCCACCGAAGCCCCGAAGUAGUCUGGCAUAUACCUUCACAUACAAUGCCUACGCCUAGCCACAGCAGCUCCCUCAUACAGACUCCGCAAGCCAAGAGGCCGUGGAGGCAAAUGCAGGCAGCCAGCACACCUCGAACAGCCACCUUGACUGCGGGUGUGUCACCCUAGUCGCCAAGGAGACAUUUGAGGGAAAGUGACAGGCAAUGUGAACAGCCACUUUUCCAUGUAAACAAUACUCUUUCUCUUGGAUGACUCCUACGCCUCGCCACGCCAGCACACUUGUGCACAAAGAUGCCGCAGAGACACGUGCAGGUCAGAGGCAAGAAGCAGUGGCACUGGUGUCGACAUUUACCCAAUUUCUUUUUCUUACACUGAGGCAGUCAGCACACCUCGAACAGCCAGCUUAACUGCGGGUGUGUUAGUAGAUUCCCGUUGUACAUAUGCUCAUAAUAAACUUCAGUAAACUUGAACUUCAUAAUAAACUUGAAGGCAAAUGGGACAUUGACGCAUUGUAUGUUUGAACAUUUAUUGUACACAUACAAUAUAUGUUAUACUUUGCAGUGCUACAGAACGUAUUUUGAAGCUUCCCCCGAUAUUUUGCACCUUUAAUUACGUAUGUGUUGUGUGGCCCUCAAUGGAGUUCAUGUUGUAGCAGCUGCUUUGUCUGUGUAUCGCACAUUGGCUUAAGCUCGUGAUAUCCACAUACUUCUCUCACAUAUACAAAAUAAAGUUCUAUGUAGUCCUCAGUGUUACAACAAAAAAUGAAAGUAAACAAUCCGAUCGUGGAAUUGUGUUUAUUACAGUGGUUCCUACGACAGUUACUGACAAGUUGACAACUUGAACUGGUCAAUCGGUCUGUAGCCUCCUCUAUUUUUCAAAAAUAAAGGAGGCUAUGAUCUGUCAUGGCAAGGAAUUGUAUGUAUACAUAAAAAAGGGGGUAUGUGUGUGUGUUUGGAGUGGGGGUAUAGGAUUAGGGCGGUACGAAAAAAUGUACCAACACCGUGCUCUAGACCCAUUCCGUUAAGGUACCGUAACAAAGCGUAUUAUGCAUAAAGUUCAUACAACCAACUCUGAUAUUACAGACGCCAGGCGACGCGAGCUACAUUUGUCAUGAUGCAUUCGCGACUGCACCGGAUGCCCUCCACAUUAUUCUCGUUAAUCGUGCUCACUGCGCCGAGGCAAAAGAAAGAUCAUGGGCGCAGGUGCCUUUAAAGUAUCUCGACCUUGCGAGGCACGGCUGCGCGUGCCAGGGGAGCUGUCCGUGCGAACACUCCCUGGCACACACCUGCCUCGGCGGCCCCAACCUACGUACCGUUCUGCUUCGAGCUUUGAUCCCCCCCACUGUCCCUCGGGUGCCCUGGAGUUCCUGCGCCGCCUGCUCUACUAUCAUCUCAGGUGCUCUCCUGAGACUUCCGUUUGUCGGUUACAUGUGCCCUACAGCUGGAUCAUUACUUAUAAUAAUAAAAAAAAAACGAUCUAUCGUCACGACGAUAGAUCGCGAAAGCGGCUUUUGCAACAUACCGCGCCCGUGCGAAGAGAAUUACGGAACGCCAACGAGGAAUCUGACCACAGCUUCGAGCUCGUAACCUCGUCGAGUGACACUCCUGCAACAGGCGUGACCGCUGAAAACCGCAUACCGCCGGAAACUUGAACAGGAUCAUCCCUCGGUUGCAUAACUGCCAGCUGUACGGCCAACAUGGACCACACCCACACCAUCCCGCAACAUAGAAUAAAGAACCGACUUAUAAAGCCCAAACACUCGGCUGCACGCACACAUCACAACACUACAAGCGAGACGCCAUGCUGCUGCGCUGCUACUGUUGCCGGAUUAAAACUGACUACUGUCACCAAGUCUAGCAAGCGUCUCAGGAGCUGGCAACCUCGGCGCGUAGCAACAUGGCGGCGCUCUUGAGGUUCCCGAUUUUAAUGCAUGGGCCCUAUGGGUAGCUUGUCCUCUAGAGUCAGUAUAGUAACUCUAUGCCCCCAACUACACGCUUUUGAACACGUUUCACCCUGUUUCGCCCGUCGAAGCCGCCACAGCGCAUAUCGCAAGAGGGCUACCUUGCGGCUACAUUCGGAUAUGGCCGGCGCGCAAGGAGGAAGCGCGGAAUCAUGCACGCUUGCAGUCUCGGAGGGACGCGCAUGCGUGCAGGCGUCGGUAUCGACACCAUGGGUUCGCGGGUUCGCCGCUAGAAGGGGAGACGAGAGGGUAGCUUUGCCACGCGCUCGCGCAUCCUGCAAUCCUUUUGCUGUUGACUGUACACAUUAGAUGUGAUCCAUUUUUUUUAUGGACCCCAGUGUGGAGAAAGCAUCAUUAAAUUGCUUUUUUUUUUUUCGCGUGGCUUGUUUCCGGAUUGAUCAAGCAGCAGUAUCAUGAUGCUAAGGAGACUCAUGUAAUGACAAUCAUCAGCGUUCCUUUUGCAGAAAAACCACAUUUCCUGACCCAUAUUGUUUGCUAUCCUAUUACUCGCAUAAUUUCGCAGAGUAGUCUACGUGCACUGACUUGCUUGACCUCCACUAAAGAAUCUUGCAUUUUCAAAUGCCAUUCUUUCCUUGAAAUCAUUUGACACUUCCGAAUUUCUGUACCGUGGGCUUCCGAUACUAUGCAUUCACCAUUCCUGCUUGUUUCCGACUAGAAAUGUCUUCUUUAAUUUAGAGCUUAAACUUUACCUUUGGAACACACAUCUGGGCUUAAGCAAGCCAUUGCAUACCUGCAUAGCAGGGAAACAUGUUUCAUGAAACGUUUGCAAAAUCCAAUAGAAGAUUGACAAAUGCCGCUUGCAGUGCGAUUUGAAUGAAUGAGCCAUAAAACAAACUCAUCUCGCUUGGCAAAAUAAAGCAUAUAUUAUUGUGAUGUACAACAUAUGUUAUACUAAUGUAGGGGGUUCUCUUGCUUAAACAGCAAAAUAAUAGGUGCGCGAGAAUAAAUUUAUUUUUUCAUACCCCUUGUACACACUUUAAGGAAAAUGAGCUGGAGCUGUCCACAUGAUUAGGAAAGACUAUUGUACAAAUGAGAACUAAAAUCGUCAGACCACUGCCAAACUGUGAAGUUACAUCAUGCAUGCAAUGCAAAUGAAGGCGGAUGUGAAGUACUUUCUACUUUUUAGUGAAGGGGCUCAUGCGGAAACAAAAACAGUCUUUUCCUAUAACCACAUCUUGUUUUCUUGUCAUUCUAUUUCGUUUUCUCGCAAUCUAAAACUCUCCAAGAGAAAUAAGGUUGAUACUAAUUCUCACAAUAUCAGUUUACCUCCCAACCAAAUGAGAUGUGAAAAUGCCCAUGUACUUAGAUUUAGGUGCACGUUAAGAACCCCUGGUGGUCCAACUUUGCAGAGUCCCUCACUACAGUGUGCCUCAUAAUCAGAUCAUGGUUUUGGCACAUAAAGUCCCAUAAUUUAAAUACAAUUAAACGAGACGCAAUCCAAAUUAGUGAUGUCAUGCAAAGGUCUGAACUGUUUUAAACGACCACAUGCACCACAUGGUGGCUCGUAGAUUGUUUGCAUCGACCUUGCACUGCAACGUUGAAGCUGCACUACGUUACGUUUUGCCUGGAAACAUUGCAGUUAUUUUCAGCUCAUCUGCAACAGUGCCGUGGAACCUAACCUGUGAAUGCAGCUCCAUUGAGACAAUUGCA